CCCUUAGAUGUUCUGGGCUGCACGCGUGUUACAAUCGGGAGUACAACAAGAUUGCAAAUCCUAGUGGAUGAGUGGUUCUUCGAAAUUUUCUGAAGACUGGGAUAGUUGAUUGAAAUUACUCAACUCAAACGAGGAAUUCCUUGUAAUUGUAAUUCAUUAUAUUGUAAUGAAUACGUCCCUGCCCUUUGUACACACCGCCCGUCGCUCCUACCGAUUGAACGAUCCGGUGAAUUAUUUGGAGUAGCUCUGGAAGUUGCAGAACUUCCUAUGUCACGAAAUUUUGUAAACCUUAUCGUUUAGAGGAAGGAAAAGUCGUAACA
rnacentral:rRNA from 1 species